GGAAGGAAAGAAGAAAGGUGAAUUCUCCAAGGUUGGGCCUAGGAGUGGAAGAAAGCUUGCUGGUGAUGGUGGGAGCUCCUCAUAGGCUCUCACUUUAGCCCUGGGCGUACUUCUUCCUGGCAACCCAUUAGGUACAAAGAAAAAAAGCACUGGACUAGGAGCCAUUUUAGGACUGGCUCUGAUAUUACCUAGCCACGUGGGCAAGUCCAGGAACCUCUCUGAGUUGUAGCUUUCUCAUCUGUCAAAAGGAGUAAACAGCAGCAUCUGCCCUACCUAGCCUGUGUUCUGUGGAGUGACCUUACUCCAUGCAGGAGACAAAUCUAAGGUGGUCAGGGAAGGCCUUGCUGAGACAGCCUCCGAGCGGCGCUGUGAAGAAAAAGCUGCGGAGAAGCAUGUUUCAGGAGGAGCGCAAAAGCCCGAAAGUGGGAACAGACUUGACUCAUUUGAAGAAGAAAAAGGCGGCCUAGCAAGUCAUGGGCACAGGAGAGAGGUGAGUGAGGAGCGUGGUGAGGUUGGCAGGGGCCCUGGAGGCCAUGCAGAGGUGGCUUCUUGGAGCAGCAUGUGACAGCCCUGGGCACUCCCUCUCUCUGGAAACACUCUUUUCUACUGGCUCCCGUGGCCACACUUCUCUGGCUUCCCUCCUACUUCUUUGGCCGCUCUUUAUUAGCCUUGUUUGCUGGUUCACCCCCCUCAGUCUGGUUCUCUUCAUUCUGUUCUCUUUCAUUAGAUAUUCUAUCUGCACUCAUCUAUGCUCAUAGCUUCAGUUAACAUUAAUAAACUGAUGACUCCAUAAUUUUUAUCUUCAGGUGUACCCUCUCCUUUGACCUCCAGAUUUAUAUAACAAACAGUCUGCCCAUGACUAUGCGUGGAUACCUCAAUUUGCUAAGCCCAAAACUGAACUCAUGGUCUUCUCCUCCAAAUGCUGUCUUCUCAGUGAAGAGCGCACCAGUGCAAUGUGUAAUUAUGCACAUGUCUGUGAGGUAAUUUAACUCUAUCUGUAUGCCUGAUGAGGCUGUAAGUUCUGUGAGAGCAGGAACCUGUGUGUUCAUUUGCUAUUUAUUUGUGUUCAUUUGUUUGUUCAUUCAUUCACUUGAUCAUUCGACAAAAAGUGCACACAUAGUAAGAAUCAUAUUCUAGGGCUAGGAAUACAGCAGUGAACAAGAUAGGGCUCAAAUCUUAUAAAAAAAGAUUUUAGCAGAGGUAGAGGUGGGAGGGAGGCAGAAAAUAAACAAAUAAACUAUUAAUAACUUCAGAUUGAAAUAAAUGGUAGAAAUAAACAAGUAAGGUGAUAGACAUUAACUGGAGGUGGGAAAGGGAGUGAGAUGAGAGGGCAACUUUAGAUGGAGUGGCCAGGGAAGGCCUCUCUGAUGACAUCAUAUUUAAGCUAAGUCUGAAGAAAAAGAGGAGCCAGCUAUGUAAGGAGUUAAGGGUAGAGCAUGCUAGGCAGUGAGAACAGCAAGUGCAAAAGCCCUAAGCUUGGUGCGUGGAGAAGCAGAAAGGAUUCCAGCAUGCACUGAAUGUGGUUAACAAGUAUGAGGUGUGAUGAGAUGAAGUUAAAGAAAUAGGCAGGAGCCAGGUCAGGCAGGGCUCUGUGGGUCAUGGUAAUGCAUCAGGGUUUUGCUCUGUCUGCAAUGUGAAGUCCCUGAAGGGUUUUAAAGAGGAGAGUGACACAGUCUGAUUCCUCUUUAAAAAGAUGGGUCUGGCUGCUGUGAGAAGGCACUGGCGGAAGGCAAGAGUGGAAGUAGCUCAGGGCUCAGAUACACAUGUGGGAAUCAUCAGCAGUUAAAUUGGCUUCAAAGCCACAGGACUAGAUGAAGUCACCUAGGAUGAGAGCAAGCCCUGGAAGAGAAGGCGUCUGAGGACUGAAGUCUGGAUGCACCAACAGUCAAGGCACUGGAGCCAAGAGAGGAGGGUUACAAGGAACACGGAACGAUCCACUGCAACAAGUGCCAGCAAGAAGUGAGUAAGCUGAGGACAGGUAGGGUCCGCAGGACUUGACAACACGGAGGUUACUGGUGACCCUGAUAUAAGAGGGGUUCCAAUGAAGUGGUGGGGACUGAAGCCAAAACAAAGCGGAUAAAAGAAUGGGAGGCGACCAAGUGGAGCCAGUGAUGACCACUUUUUCCAACGUCUAGCUGUAAAAGGGAACAGAGAAACACUGUGGCAGCUGAAGGGGAUUGUGGGUUCCAGGGGCGUCUGUUUUGGCUCCCCACUGUAUUCCCAGUGAAUGAACACACACGUGUAGAAACAUGCAUAGGGAAAAGAAGGAAACACAUCAAAAUAUUAAUAAGAGUUAUUGUUGGUAGUGAGAUGAGAAAUUUUAACUUUCUGCCUUACAAUGUAUAUUUUCUGAUUUUAAUAUAACAUUAGCAGCAGGUAACACUUACUGAGUCACUGUUACUGGUCUAAAUCCUCUAAGAGUAUUGCCACAUUUAAUCCCCACAACAAUCCUAUGAGGUAGAACCUUGGUCCCCAUUUUGCAGAUGAGAAAACUGAGGUUUAGGAAUGUGAGAUAACUUGCUGAAGGUCACAUAGCUAGUCUGUGGUAAAGACAGGACUCACAUCUGGGCAGUAUAAAUCAAGAGAAAACUUGCAUUCUUAACCACCAUGCCAAAUUUUUUUUAAUGAAUGUAUAUUACUUGCACAAAUAAAAAGGACAACUAAAAACAACUACUCUGCAAAACACAAUCAAACAAACAAACAAUCCAAGGCAACGUGCCGUAGACAAGAUCAGCCGUUUCUCCCUAAGAAACACCUGUAAAGGGGUAGCUAAGGCGAUGAGAGAACACAACUGAGAUGGUCAAGAUGUGGUAUCAGAAGAGAAAACAAGCAAACCAAGUGUUAACCCAAUCCAAACCAAGAAAAAUACCUAGUCUAACUGUAACACGUCCAGUCUGCACAAUCUUUUAAUGCAACAGGAAGUUCAUGCAGUUUAGACACAGGGACCCUAAAGAGCUUCCAAGUAUCCUGGCCACCUGAAAGCGAGGCUCUGUUGUGAGGCAGCAAUAUGUGUUAUAAUUGUGAAUAUAACUACCAAGAAUUUAAUAUUUAGUAUGUUCUGUGCUGUGUGUACUCACGCUACGUGGUAGUUCUUGUCUAUUAUCCCAUUCAAUCCUCACAGCAAACCACUGGCGGUGGGGAGUGUCUUAUUUUCAAUUUUAGAGAUGAGUUUGAAGGUCAGAAAGGUUAAAAGACUUGCUCAAAGUUUCUUGAUUCGUCUGGUUUCAAGUUGGAUGAGGAUGAAACUCUCUGGGCCUUCCUGUGCUCUGAUUCUAUGUGCUCUGACCACAGACCCUUUGGUUCCCUACUC